rnacentral:tRNA from 1 species
UAGCUCAAUGGGUAGAGUGCUUGCCUAGCAUGCAUGAAGUCCUGAGUCCAAUCCUCAG